rnacentral:lncRNA from 1 species
CUGGCAUGGAGUGAGCUGGGCCUCCGAGAAGUGUAGAAGGCAAGGUCGAAGAUGCAACAGGCUGAGGGUAAUAAUACAAGGAGUUCAAGAGAGAAAUGCUGUCUGCCUGCUUACCUCUUCAAGACAAUGGUUUAUCUUGAAUAUUUAAAAGGAAUGAAGCUGAUUCUCCUCCCACUGGCCACACUGAUGUGGAUCAAGGCUGUCCCAGGGAAAGAAGCCCAAGGCAUCUGGCCUACACGCUGAUCUAUACCACCCUCCAGGAAGCAUAGGACAAAGUGACCUGAUUCAUAUCUAAAGUUAUAUGAUCACAGAUAACCAGACCCCACCUGUACUGAUGCCAUUUUAACAACUUUUUUACAUGAUCUUUCCUUUGUCUGGUAAAAAAUAACUCACAUACCUAUGCCUUAUAAAGUUAGCCCUACCCUCAGUCUACUGCAGC